UAGAGUUUGAUUCUGGCUCAGAUUGAACGCUGGCGGCGUGCCUAACACAUGCAAGUCGAGCGGUAACAGGUGUAGCAAUACAUGCUGACGAGCGGCGGACGGGUGAGUAACGCUUGGGAAUCUGCCUGAUAGUGGGGGACAACCCGGGGAAACUCGGGCUAAUACCGCAUACGCACUACGGUGGAAAGCCGGGGACCGCAAGGCCUGGCGCUAACAGAUGAGCCCAAGUCGGAUUAGCUAGUUGGUAGGGUAACGGCCUACCAAGGCGACGAUCCGUAACUGGUCUGAGAGGACGACCAGUCACACCGGAACUGAGACACGGUCCGGACUCCUACGGGAGGCAGCAGUGGGGAAUAUUGGACAAUGGGCGAAAGCCUGAUCCAGCGACGCCGCGUGGGUGAAGAAGGCCUGCGGGUUGUAAAGCCCUUUCGGUGGGGAAGAAAAGCCUCGAGCUAAUACCUCGGGGUCUUGACGUAACCCAUAGAAGAAGCACCGGCUAACUCUGUGCCAGCAGCCGCGGUAAUACAGAGGGUGCGAGCGUUAAUCGGAAUUACUGGGCGUAAAGCGCGCGUAGGCGGCUUUGCAAGUCGGGUGUGAAAUCCCCAGGCUUAACCUGGGAACUGCAUUCGAGACUGCAUUGCUAGAGUAUGGGAGAGGGAAGUGGAAUUUCCGGUGUAGCGGUGAAAUGCGUAGAUAUCGGAAGGAACAUCAGUGGCGAAAGCGACUUCCUGGACCAAUACUGACGCUCAUGUGCGAAAGCGUGGGGAGCAAACAGGAUUAGAUACCCUGGUAGUCCACGCCAUAAACGAUGAGAACUGGAUGUCGGGAGGGUCUGCCUCUCGGUGUCGUAGCUAACGCGUUAAGUUCUCCGCCUGGGGAGUACGGCCGCAAGGUUGAAACUCAAAUGAAUUGACGGGG
rnacentral:rRNA from 1 species